GACGAACGCUGGCGGCGGGCUUAACACAUGCAAGUCGAACGGAAAGGCCCUGCUUUUGUGGGGUGCUCGAGUGGCGAACGGGUGAGUAACACGUGAGUAACCUGCCCUUGACUUUGGGAUAACUUCAGGAAACUGGGGCUAAUACCGGAUAGGAGCUCCUGCUGCAUGGUGGGGGUUGGAAAGUUUCGGCGGUUGGGGAUGGACUCCCGGCUUAUCAGCUUGUUGGUGGGGUAGUGGCUUACCAAGGCUUUGACGGGUAGCCUGCCUGAGAGGGUGAACGGCCACAUUGGGACUGAGAUACGGCCCAGACUCCUACGGGAGGCAGCAGUGGGGAAUAUUGCACAAUGGGCGGAAGCCUGAUGCAGCAACGCCGCGUGCGGGAUGACGGCCUUCGGGUUGUAAACCGCUUUCGCCUGUGACGAAGCGUGAGUGACGGUAAUGGGUAAAGAAGCACCGGCUAACUACGUG
rnacentral:rRNA from 1 species